rnacentral:rRNA from 1 species
AACGAACGCUGGCGGCAUGCCUAACACAUGCAAGUCGAACGAGACCUUCGGGUCUAGUGGCGCACGGGUGCGUAACGCGUGGGAACCUGCCCUUAGGUUCGGAAUAACUCCCCGAAAGGGGUGCUAAUACCGGAUAAUGUCUUCGGACCAAAGAUUUAUCGCCUUUGGAUGGGCCCGCGUUGGAUUGGCUAGUUGGUAGGGUAAAAGCCUACCAAGGCGACGAUCCAUAGCUGGUCGGAGAGGAUGAUCAGCCACACUGGGACUGAGACACGGCCCAGACUCGUACGGAAGGCAGGGGAGGGGAGUAUUGGACAAGGGGGGAAAGUCUAACAAAGCAAUGCGGGGUGAGUGAGGAAGCCGUUAGGGUUGUAAAGCUCUUUUACCCGGGAUGAGAAUGACGGUACCGGGAAAAUAAGCACCGGCUAACUCCGUG